rnacentral:rRNA from 1 species
UACGUAGGGUGCAGGCGUUAAUCGGAAUUACUGGGCGUAAAGCGUGCGCAGGCGGCUCCUUAAGUCAGAUGUGAAAUCCCCGGGCUUAACCUGGGAACUGCGUUUGAAACUGAGGAGCUCGGGUGUGGAAGAGGGGGGUGGAAUUCCAGGUGUAGCAGUGAAAUGCGUAGAGAUCUGGAGGAACACCGAUGGCGAAGGCAGCCCCCUGGGCUAACACUGACGCUCAUGCACGAAAGCCAGGGGAGCAAACGGG